GGAACGUAAACAUUCCCUGCUUCACGCCUCCUUCUUCUUCCUUCUUCCUUCUUCUUUCUUUUUCUUUCUUUUGCUUCAAGAAAAGAAACCAAAGUGUUGGUGGGUGAAAAAGAAGAAUGUUUUUCCCUGUUGCACCUCGCCUUCUCCUUUUCUUCUUCUUUAUCGGUUUCAAAGAAAAAGUGUUGGUGGUUUUCAAAACCACACACACACGAACAUCUAUUUAUCUUCUAGAUCUAAGCUUCCAUUCGAAAAGUAACAGAAGGGAAAGUUGCUCCUCUCUGCACUACGGUGCUUGGGGGCUAAGUUUUGAAGUGACGACGCGAGCGAGAUUUUUCACCGUACUUGAGCGCGGUAGCGGAAACGGAUGAAAAAACGGUAACUAAGUACCCUGGCGACGGGAAGGCCGUUAGUCAUACCUGACCAAAGUUGUGUCAGGAGGAUCUUGCAAGGCGCGUGGAGAUCACUCAGGUUUUAUAGUUUUUGUAGCAUGAUCAGAUUAGAUGGUUGUAUAGGGGCUAGAUGUCUUUCUUUUGUGGUUGUAUUUAUUUCAAAUUGGAUGAUUUUACAUAUAUCUUAUAUUGUCAUCUUAACUUUUA